ACAAUAGCAUCAGUGUGAAUCCAGCUGGAUCUCUGAAACAAAUCAACUGUACUUGGUUUGCAAGAAAAGGAUCUUGGCUGUCAGAAUGUACUGGUCAAACUGGAAUCUGGCUAUAUUUAGGGGGGUAAAACAGCUAUAGCAAAGUCAGGUACUGAAGUGCUGUUUUUCUAAACUUUUUAAUGGGAAGUGAUUGUUUUUAGCACUCUGACCUUUCCAGAAUUCCCUUGCAACAGUAAAAAAAAAAUAAGACAUUGACAAUAGAUGUUGAUAUUCAAAAAGUUAAAGCUUUAAAACCCAAAUCAACAUCCCAUCAAAAGUAAAUAUCCUUAAAUCAAAACUAAGUUCUAAAGCAGCACUUCUCUUCUCUGUAAAUUAGGAUGAAAUUAACAUUUACUGACAAUCUUAUCUUUCCAAGCCUAUUUUACUUAUAGGAUCUCAUGCCAUUUUUAAGUUACAUUUCAAAGUGUAGGCCUGCAGGUUCCUCUCUCAAACAGGUCAAAAACCUUUGAGUUUAGGAAAGGUAAGGGCUCCUACAUAUUGUAUGAUGUGGGUACAUCAACUAUUUUAGACCAUAUUAACACAGCAGCAGGGGUUGUGCAUUAAUCUAACAGGAGCAGCUGAAAUGAAAAUGUAGUGCUUACUGACCAACAAACCUGUACUCCAACUUUUUUUAAAGCUGAGUUGGCAGUCAAACACCCUUCUAAAAAUGUGGCUGAAAUCUUAUUUUCUGUUUUAAAAGUUGGACAUCACUGGCAGCUUCAGGUCAGACACAAGUAGAAGACAAACUGAUUCACAAGCAAUAAUGUAGUUUAUACAAAAUCAUAAUCACCAGAAACCUCCAUUUAAUGAGAAUGUACUUCAAAGACCACAGUAAUGGAGUUAUUCCCAUGUGUUCACAAAUACAAUUCCAACUGUUAAGGGCCAUUCACUUUGUAAAGGGUUUGUAGGGAACUCGGUGCAUGUCAGUCACGUAUGGUAGCUCCAGUGAUUUUUUUUGGGGGGGGGGGGGGAGGGGAGGAAAGGUGGGCAUAGGCAUUAAUUUUUAAAUGAGAGAACAGAUUGCCUAUGGCUCCUUCAAUCUCCAGCAGCAGUUCAAAGAAAUGCAGCCUUAACUGGUGCUGUCCCCUUAGGAGCAAGAGCCAGUCUUUCAACUCUGCAUCUAACAGCUAGAGAAAUUUUGUGAACACCACUAGCCUGAAAAAAUGAAAACAUUCCUUUCACUCACUUUAUGCACAUGUGAGGCCCUACUUGAACCUUACUGUGGUUAAAAACAGAGCUCCUACCACAAACCUAAUUAGGAUUGUGUGACAUUUUGCAAUUCAUGACAGACUUUAAAAAGGCACAUUAAGUGUGAAUAGAACAGCACCUUAACUUCACCUACCACAGAGCUUCUACACAAUUUCCCCUGCUUUUCUAUGCAUUCCCUAAGACAUGCCUCAGUUGUGGGUCUAGUCUGAUGUCUAUCAGUGAAAAGGUAACAGACUUGAUUCAAUUAUGAUAGUCACAGGUGUUAAGACUUACAGCACUAAAGAAAAUUGCAAUUAUUAAAAGGGCAUGUUCCUAUCUGAAAA